rnacentral:rRNA from 1 species
CACUUCUAAGGAAGGCAGCAGGCGCGCAAAUUACCCAAUCCUGACUCAGGGAGGUAGUGACAAGAAAUAACAAUAAACCGGCUUAUGCCGGUUUAAUUGGAAUGAGUACAAUUUAAACAUCUUAACGAGGAACAAUUGGAGGGCAAGUCUGGUGCCAGCAGCCGCGGUAAUUCCAGCUCCAAUAGCGUAUACUAAAGUUGUUGCAGUUAAAAAGCUCGUAGUUGGAUUUCUGUGGGGACGGAGCGGCCGGCCGCACAUCGCGGUUCGAGCUAGCGCUUUCCCUACAUCCUGCCGCGAACCGUGCUACCAUUAGUUUGGUGGCGCCGGGGAUCGGCUCGAUUACUUUGAGAAAAAUAGAGUGUUCAAAGCAGGCCACAUGCCUUGAAUAAGUUAGCAUGGAAUAAUAACUAAGGACUUCGGUUCUAUUUUGUUGGUGUUCGGGACUGAAGUAAUGAUUGAUAGGGACAGUUGGGGCGGUCUGUAUUCCAAAGCGAGAGGUGAAAUUCUUAGACCUUCGGAAGACAAACAGCUGCGAAAGCGUUCCGCAAGGAUAUUCCCUUUGAUCAAGAACGAAAGUUGGGGGAUCGAAGACGAUCAGAUACCGUCGUAGUCUCAACUAUAAACUAUACCAGCUAGGGAUCGGCCAACGUUAUUUUAUACCGACUUGGUCGGCACCUUAUGAGAAAUCAAAGCAUCUGGGUUCCGGGGGGAGUAUGGUCGCAAGGCUGAAACUUAAAGGAAUUGACGGAAGGGCACCACCAGCCGUGGAGCCUGUGGCUUAAUUUGACUCAACACGGGAAAACUUACCAGGUCCAGACAUAGUAAGGAUUGACAGAUUGAUAGCUCUUUCUUGAUUCUGUGGGUGGCGGUGCAUGGCCGUUCUUAGUUGGUGGAGUGAUUUGUCUGGUUAAUUCCGUUAACGAACGAGACCCCAGCCUGCUAAAUAGCGCGAGUGAGCUUUGCUCGCUGCGAGCUUCUUAGAGGGACUAUGAUGCGCGAUAGCACAUGGAAGUUUGGGGCAAUAACAGGUCUGUGAUGCCCUUAGAUGUUCUGGGCCGCACACGGGCUACACUGGCGCCUGCAACGAGCAUAUCAGCUGGCCCGAGAGGGUCUUGGCUAAUCUUUUGAACCGGCGCCGUGCUUGGGAUUGACCUUUGCAAUUGUUGGUCAUGCAACGAGGAAUGCCUUGUAAACGCGAGUCAUCAGCUCGCAUUGAAUACGUCCCUGCCCUUUGUACACACCGCCCGUCGCUCCUACCGAUGAAUGUUCCGAUGAAAUUUUCGGAGAGCACCUGUGAACUUGGCUCUGCCUUGCGAACGGGAGGCUCAAAGUCACUUAAAUCUGAACAUUUC